rnacentral:siRNA from 1 species
UCCAAGUGGAACGAGGGCGCUC